GUCAACGACCCCCGACUAGAAGUCGGGGGCUUGCAGGAACAAUUCUGCAAGCCUCAAGUUGACCAGACUCAGUCUUUUCGAAAGGCUACGUUACCGUAGAAAGCUACAACAGGUACGACAGUGUGCUUCUCCAGCCUUGCCCGCUACGGUCAGUGAUUAAACGGGUUUAAAGGGGUUAAGCCAGUGUUGCUGACAUUCAAACCUACGGAUUAACAUUGUCGAGGAGAUAAAAAC
rfam:Anaerolineaceae bacterium 4572_78 ex4572_78_scaffold_728, whole genome shotgun sequence.